UGCUCACUGGAUGCGAUUCAUUAAGAGGGGGACACGUGACUAGUCGGACCAGUAACCGCUCCAGUUUCUGCGCUCCACUUGACAGUCGCCCUACGGAUAUCCUACAAUUACGACCACCACCUUUGUGUGGCCUGUCAUCUACUCUAGUCAUCGCUCUAAGCGAUGCCUGAUAAGCGAGAAGCCUCACGGUGCAUGAGCUCACUUUGCUUGUGAUUUGUUCCUGUCAUCCAUCAUACCGAUCUGCCAUGACAACAGAUGCAUCGCGGGUUGUCUUUACGACUCCCGGGCCACCUACUCCUCACCACCUCUCGGCAGACAGACAACAGGUUCAAAAACACGAAAGCGGCUUUGUUUUAACCAAGAAGAUUAAUUCGAUAUCACAGUCCACCAGGCAAUGUGUCCG